GUAAAGCAAAAGGUUAAUGGUUGUUUCACUCGCUUCAGGACGGCAGGAGGUCGGAGGAUCUGAACCUGGUGCCACAGGCCUGUAAUCACAGCACUUGGGAGGUAGAGGCAAAGGAAAUGCUUUUCUUGCUCAGCUAAUUGAUUUGGAUCAAUUUUGUGGCUUCCACGGUUUAUUGAAGUUCCUCCCUUCCAAUAAAAUGUGGCCUGGGAUGAUCUCCCAGUGCCAAGAGCUCUGGCCCGACGAGGAGGUACAGUCACAGAUUCAAAGUGGCCCUUUCAACCACAGAGAGACAGGGAGGAGUCGGGGGACAGAGACACACCUGACUUCCCUUUGGCCUCUGCAGCUCUGUUUAUCCACCCUCACUGACUCCAGGCUGAACCAGCCAGAAGUCAGAGGCAAGGAUGCCUGGGAAAUUCUAUUUGCAAGAGGCAAGUAUCAGCUAUCCGGGGUACCCCAGGUAUGCAGACAAAGGGUCCCACAGUCCAGGGUGGGAGCUGCUCUCGUGGCCCUGUGACUGGCCUGGCCAGAAAUGAAGACAUUCUUAAAUGCUUUCCAGUCCCCUCUCUCAAUCUGACUAUCAGACCACUGAAACAAUGGGCCCUACAAAUGGGGGAUUUCCCCAGGAGUCUCAUGAUGGGUAAAGCAAAGAGCACCAAGCAAGAAGGGGAGCUUGGCUAAGAGAGUUCAUGCAGCCCUAAUAACUUGCCAGACCAUAUCACAGACUAGAACUGAAGCCCAGACAGUGAUGGGUCAGUGGUGGGCGGGGUCACACCUUGACCAGGACUAUGGGAAUGUGUACAUCAUUGGCCCUCUCUUUAUACUUCGGCCUCACUUCAGGACCCUGGAGACAGGUUUAAGGAUGAGGAGUUCACUGUAUCUCUUCUUCCCUCUUCCCAAUGUGGCCAUGCUGAAUAAAUAGCCUUUUUCUGCUUUCCCACUAUUAAUUUGGCUCUUUCAAUUGGCUUAGGCUUAUUGAAAAUGAGCGACCAGACCUAACUUGGGGUACAGGUGGUGACCUCUAAAUCUGAUAACAGCGCCAGCUCUGGGGGAGCAUCUCUGCCAUGUUCGACCUGUCCUGGCACGUCUGCUCUCUAUGCCCCAAGUACAUCGGGCUCCCAGGAUUUAGUCCUGAUAUUUCAAUUAUUCCAGGAAGCUUCCGUGUGUUCCACUAUCAACCUGUGAACUUCUGAAGUAGUUGGCAUCCCUGGUUCCCCUUUACCAGGACCACCCACCUGGAGACUCCCUGCUCUGCAAAUAUGGGCACACUGGAUGUGCACGAGAUACUGUUGUGUGAUAAACCUUUUCUGGGGAGGCAUGAGCAAACAUCCACUCACCCCAGAGAGAGAACUGACAAUGGAAUGAAGUAUGGACACCCCAAAGUCCAACUUGGUAAACCAAUGAGCUUUACUGGAGUUAUUGAUAGGAAUAUAGGUAUGGUGGUUUGAAUAAAAAAAUGGGCUGGAGAGAUGGAUUAGUGGUUAAGAGCACUGGCUGCUCUUCCAGAGGUCCUGAGUUCAAUUCC